rnacentral:rRNA from 1 species
GACGAACGCUGGCGGCGUGCUUAACACAUGCAAGUCGAACGGAAAGGCCCUGCUUGCAGGGUACUCGAGUGGCGAACGGGUGAGUAGCACGUGGGUGAUCUGCCCUGCACUUCGGGAUAAGCCUGGGAAACUGGGUCUAAUACCGGAUAGGAGCCAUUUUUAGUGUGAUGGUUGGAAAGUUUUUUCGGUGUAGGAUGAGCUCGCGGCCUAUCAGCUUGUUGGUGGGGUAAUGGCCUACCAAGGCGGCGACGGGUAGCCGGCCUGAGAGGGUGGGCGGCCACAUUGGGACUGAGAUACGGCCCAGACUCCUACGGGAGGCAGCAGUGGGGAAUAUUGCACAAUGGGCGCAAGCCUGAUGCAGCGACGCCGCGUGGGGGAUGACGGCCUUCGGGUUGUAAACUCCUUUCGCUAGGGACGAAGCUUUUUGUGACGGUACCUAGAUAAGAAGCACCGGCUAACUACGUG